UACAGAGGGGGCAAGCGUUGUUCGGAAUUACUGGGCGUAAAGGGCGCGUAGGCGGCCUUCUAAGUCGGACGUGAAAUCCCUCGGCUCAACCGAGGAACUGCGUCCGAUACUGGUGGGCUUGAAUCCGGGAGAGGGAUGUGGAAUUCCAGGUGUAGCGGUGAAAUGCGUAGAUAUCUGGAGGAACACCGGUGGCGAAGGCGGCAUCCUGGACCGAGAUUGACGCUGAUGCGCGAAAGCCAGGGGAGCAAACGGG
rnacentral:rRNA from 1 species